UACGUAGGUGGCAAGCGUUGUCCGGAAUUAUUGGGCGUAAAGCGCGCGCAGGCGGUCCUUUAAGUCUGAUGUGAAAGCCCACGGCUCAACCGUGGAGGGUCAUUGGAAACUGGGGAGCUUGAGUACAGAAGAGGAGAGUGGAAUUCCAUGUGUAGCGGUGAAAUGCGUAGAUAUAUGGAGGAACACCAGUGGCGAAGGCGGCUCUCUGGUCUGUAACUGACGCUGAGGCGCGAAAGCGUGGGGAGCAAACAGG
rnacentral:rRNA from 1 species